rnacentral:rRNA from 1 species
GACGAACGCUGGCGGCGUGCCUAACACAUGCAAGUCGAACGGGACCAGGGGCAACUCUGGGUUCAGUGGCGGACGGGUGCGUAACACGUGAAGGAACAUGACCUUCGGCGGGGGAUAGACCGGCCCAACGGCCGGGUAAUACCGCGUACGACCACAUGGGGACGAUCCCUGAGUGGUGAAAGCAGCAAUGCGCCGAUGGAGUGCCUCGCGGCCUAUCAGCUAGUUGGUGAGGUAACGGCUCACCAAGGCGACGACGGGUAGCUGGUCUGAGAGGAUGGCCAGCCACAUUGGGACUGAGACACGGCCCAGACUCCUACGGGAGGCAGCAGUGGGGAAUAUUGCGCAAUGGACGAAAGUCUGACGCAGCGACGCCGCGUG